CGACAGCAGGGCUUCUGGCUCAGCCUCCACGGUCAGCCCCAGAAAAGAGUCCCAGGUGGCGGUCUGGUGGAGCAGAGGAAGAAAGAGGACCCCGACGCCCAUGCCUUGGGCAAGGAUGGUGGGAGCUUCAGAGGAGACUCCAAUACUGAAGACAGAACUGCACUGCCACCUGCCACAUCUGACCUAGAGGUAUUCCAGAAUGGUGGAAGAGAAGAACAGAUAGGAAGCACUUGUUGACGGAUACACUGUAGGUGAAAUCUCUUCCAUUUCAGAAGGACACCAUCUGCUAGGAACUACAUGACAACAACUCCUUCAGAGCUUUGAUCCCAGUGGUAUAGAAAGCAGUGUGGGAGAUACUGGAGUUUUGCACAGAUCAUAGAUACCUGCCAAUUAGGGAUCCAACCCUCCUGAGUAUUCUGCAAAUCCCACGACCCCAACAGCAUGACUUGAAAAAAAAUCCUUUUCAGGUUGGCGACACAUUGUUUGCAGUAAAAAACUUUCAUGAUUUCCUUCCAAUUUACUAUAAAAAGAUCUGAGCCACCUUUCUUCUUUGGAGCAUCUUCCUGUUUUUUCUUUUCUUUAUUUUGACAAAGGAACCAAGUCUGUGGGCCUAAGAUCUUUAUAGAACUCACUAGGAAUUCUCGACUGGAAGCAUUUUAGUCAGGUGUCCUUACUGAACUUGAACUGAGAGAAAUCAGAUUAAAAUCAUUUGGCACAUUUAGUAAACAUAAACCUUUACAAUUAUAUACAACUGCAUGCCUGUUGCUGAAGAUGAAAGAAAAUAAUUAGGGUAAAUCUGGGACAGCUGCUGCUAAGAAGGAAAUCUAAGAGGAGAAGAUGGAUGAAGAGAGGAAUCUGGAGAACAGUGAAUAAUGAAGGAGUCUGACUAACAAUUAGAAGCAGGGUUUAAGAAAGUUGUUUUUGUUUAGUUAUUUUUCCUUGUUUUAUUUUCCUUUUCCCUUUCACAGUAUUUUGUUUUUUUGUUUGUCAGUCAUUAUCCAAAAAUUAACUACAGUACCUAUGGCCAACUUUUAAAUCAGGGAGAAGUCACUUAAAAUAAAAUGUAAAAAAAUUACAUACUUGUGUUUUCAGUCUCCCUGUCCCAAGCACAAUGUUAGGAUAUAGAUAUUCAGGCCUGUGUGCAAAGGCCUAUACUUUAAGAAUUUAGGUGUUUUCUUAUUACUUAGCUAGUUAUAGAGGUAUAAAAGAAAGAAUCAAAAUAACUGUCUGCCGGUGUAAGGGCCUUUUCUCAUUGUGACAGUCUAAGGCCCUGUUCUUAGGCUAAGUAAGGUCUUUGGCUAAGCAGCAGAGGCAGCCCAUAAACUGGGAAAUGAACGGUCACAUCCUCACAUUCCAAACUAGUCACAUUGA